AGGCACGUAGACAAGUGGUCUAAGUCGUCUGGUUUUGGACCAGAUAUUUCGUAGGUUCGAAUCCUACCGUGCCUGCCA
rnacentral:tRNA from 1 species